rnacentral:rRNA from 1 species
AUGGAGCCGACCUUGAAAUACCACCCUUUAAUGUUUGAUGUUCUAACGUUGACCCGUGAUCCGGGUUGCGGACAGUGUCUGGUGGGUAGUUUGACUGGGGCGGUCUCCUCCUAAAGAGUAACGGAGGAGCACGAAGGUUGGCUAAUCCUGGUCGGACAUCAGGAGGUUAGUGCAAUGGCAUAAGCCAGCUUGACUGCGAGCGUGACGGCGCGAGCAGGUGCGAAAGCAGGUCAUAGUGAUCCGGUGGUUCUGAAUGGAAGGGCCAUCGCUCAACGGAUAAAAGGUACUCCGGGGAUAACAGGCUGAUACCGCCCAAGAGUUCAUAUCGACGGCGGUGUUUGGCACCUCGAUGUCGGCUCAUCACAUCCUGGGGCUGAAGUAGGUCCCAAGGGUAUGGCUGUUCGCCAUUUAAAGUGGUACGCGAGCUGGGUUUAGAACGUCGUGAGACAGUUCGGUCCCUAUCUGCCGUGGGCGCUGGAGAACUGAGGGGGGCUGCUCCUAGUACGAGAGGACCGGAGUGGACGCAUCACUGGUGUUCGGGUUGUCAUGCCAAUGGCACUGCCCGGUAGCUAAAUGCGGAAGAGAUAAGUGCUGAAAGCAUCUAAGCACGAAACUUGCCCCGAGAUGAGUUCUCCCUGACCCUUUAAGGGUCCUGAAGGAACGUUGAAGACGACGACGUUGAUAGGCCGGGUGUGUAAGCGCAGCGAUGCGUUGAGCUAACCGGUACUAAUGAACCGUGAGG